UAACAAUACUCAAAUAACCUCAUAUCUAUAAAGAUCUUAGAAGAAUUGAAUAGUAGUAAACUAGGAUUCUCAUAAAAAAUUUGAUGAAGAGAAUCGGUGAAAAAACCAUGGAUUCAUAUUUUAAAGAAAGAAGAAAUCCAAACUCACAAACGAAAGUGUCCUGAGACAGGUCUGUAAAUAACUUUUAGGCCAGAACAAUGUUGAAUCUUCCAUGAGAUUCUUCUAAGGACUCAUGAAAUCAAGAUCCAGCGAGCAUAGGGGACCAGCAAUAGUCGGAGAAGGCACAGAAAUACCAUAGAAAUGGGGUCUUCGGUAGUGGCAGUGAUUAGGGUUAGGGUGAGUUGAGAGAGAA
rnacentral:lncRNA from 1 species